AAAACGAUAAUUAAAAUUUAUAUAUUAAAUAUAUUUAAUUAUAACAUAAAUUCAUUAUGAUAUGGAAACUUGGAAGCCACGAUAUACAUCCAAAAUUAAAAGAAAAUGAAAAGAUUAUAAUUAUAUUUCCGCCUUUUUUGUAUUAUUUUCAAAAAUUUAAAGAACAAAGACAUAAUUUCAAGAUACAUGAAAUUACAACACGAUUUAAAUAUAUAAAAUUUAUAAAAUUAUAAUUAUUCAUCAUAAGCUAUAUUGUUUAUAUUUUUUGAUAUUUCAAAAAAUAUUAUUUAGGAUUACUUUUUGAGAAUGGACUUAAAAAUGAUUUAUCAUAUCCUCUGAUAAACCUCUACAAAGUUUGUGCAUAUUUUGUUAAUGCAUUUAAAAAUUGUUCCAGAAAUUAUUCUCUGCUCGUUAGAACUCAUCAAUGAGGAUGGACAAUUUUCAUCAGUUUCACAUGGUUGCCCCUCUUAGUGAAAAAUAGAAUAAAAUUUUUUAGUGAAACAUGAAGAAAGAUAUUGUAAGAAUUAUAACAUAAAAUAAAUAAUAAUUAAGAAGCAAAAAUGAUUUACCGCAAUCCCCGGAUGAAAGAAGGAAUAGGGAAAAAAAUAAAAUUAUAGCAUAAAUAAAUUUGAGAACUUUUGUCAUUUUUUCUCUCUUUCUUGUUAGAAGUAAAAAGAGAGUUGAUCAAUUUAUA
rnacentral:lncRNA from 1 species